rnacentral:rRNA from 1 species
GACGAACGCUGGCGGCGUGCUUAACACAUGCAAGUCGAACGGAAAGGCCCUGCUUUUGUGGGGUGCUCGAGUGGCGAACGGGUGAGUAACACGUGAGUAACCUGCCCUUGACUUUGGGAUAACUUCAGGAAACUGGGGCUAAUACCGGAUAGGAGCUCCUGCUGCAUGGUGGGGGUUGGAAAGUUUCGGCGGUUGGGGAUGGACUCGCGGCUUAUCAGCUUGUUGGUGGGGUAGUGGCUUACCAAGGCUUUGACGGGUAGCCGGCCUGGGAGGGUGACCGGCCACAUUGGGCCUGAGAUACGGCCCAUACUCCUACGGGCGGCAGCAGUGGGGAAUAUUGCGCAAUGGGCGGAGGCCUGAUGCAGCAACGCCGCGUGCGGGAUGACGGCCUUCGGGUUGUAAACCGCUUUCGCCUGUGACGAAGCGUGAGUGACGGUAAUGGGUAAAGAAGCACCGGCUAACUACGU